rnacentral:rRNA from 1 species
GACGAACGCUGGCGGCGUGCUUAACACAUGCAAGUCGAACGGAAAGGCCCUGCUUUUGUGGGGUGCUCGAGUGGCGAACGGGUGAGUAACACGUGAGUAACCUGCCCUUGACUUUGGGAUAACUUCAGGAAACUGGGGCUAAUACCGGAUAGGAGCUCCUGCUGCAUGGUGGGGGUUGGAAAGUUUCGGCGGUUGGGGAUGGACUCGCGGCUUAUCAGCUUGUUGGUGGGGUAGUGGCUUACCAAGGCUUUGACGGGUAGCCGGCCUGAGAGGGUGACCGGCCACAUUGGGACUGAGAUACGGCCCAGACUCCUACGGGAGGCAGCAGUGGGGAAUAUUGCACAAUGGGCGGAAGCCUGAUGCAGCGACGCCGCGUGCGGGAUGACGGCCUUCGGGUUGUAAACCGCUUUCGCCUGUGACGAAGCGUGAGUGACGGUAAUGGGUAAAGAAGCACCGGCUAACUACGUGCCAGCAGCCGCGGUGAUACGUAGGGUGCGAGCGUUGUCCGGAUUUAUUGGGCCGUAAGGGCUCGUAGGUGGUUGAUCGCGUCGGAAGUGUAAUCUUGGGGCUUAACCCUGAGCGUGCUUUCGAUACGGGUUGACUUGAGGAAGGUAGGGGAGAAUGGAAUUCCUGGUGGAGCGGUGGAAUGCGCAGAUAUCAGGAGGAACACCAGUGGCGAAGGCGGUUCUCUGGGCCUUUCCUGACGCUGAGGAGCGAAAGCGUGGGGAGCGAACAGGCUUAGAUACCCUGGUAGUCCACGCUGUAAACGGUGGGUACUAGGUGUGGGGUCCAUUCCACGGGUUCCGUGCCGUAGCUAACGCUUUAAGUACCCCGCCUGGGGAGUACGGCCGCAAGGCUAAAACUCAAAGGAAUUGACGGGGCCCCGCACAAGCGGCGGAGCAUGCGGAUUAAUUCGAUGCAACGCGUAGAACCUUACCUGGGUUUGACAUGGAUCGGGAGUGCUCAGAGAUGGGUGUGCCUCUUUUGGGGUCGGUUCACUGGUGGUGCAUGGCUGUCGUCAGCUCGUGUCGUGAGAUGUUGGGUUAAGUCCCGCAACGAGCGCAACCCUUGUUCACUGUUGCCAGCACGUUAUGGUGGGGACUCAGUGGAGACCGCCGGGGUCAACUCGGAGGAAGGUGGGGAUGACGUCAAGUCAUCAUGCCCCUUAUGUCCAGGGCUUCACGCAUGCUACAAUGGCUGGUACAGAGAGUGGCGAGCCUGUGAGGGUGAGCGAAUCUCGGAAAGCCGGUCUCAGUUCGGAUUGGGGUCUGCAACUCGACCUCAUGAAGUCGGAGUCGCUAGUAAUCGCAGAUCAGCAACGCUGCGGUGAAUACGUUCCCGGG